rnacentral:sRNA from 1 species
GUGGACAGACAGCGGCCCGCGGGACGGCGGAAGGACGCGCGCACCGAGGCUCAGGGGGUCCGGCCGCGCACCGAGGAGUCGCUUGCAGGUGAGGAGACGCCGUCCGGGCGGCUGCGGCAGACCCGGGUCGGGCUGGGGGCCGCAGAGCCUCGGCCGCAGACCCCCCGGCGCGCGCCGCACGGGAGCUGGGCACGCAGGGUGGCGCAGAGCGCGAGCGUCUUGGUGCCUCGUUGGAGAAGUGUUCGUUUCGCAGCCUGUCAUUGUGCGUCUAUGUAUGGCCCGGGGAUGCGUGGCUCCGGGCAAGUGUGCGCUUUUGGGGUCCCCAGGUUGGAGGUGGGGGGCGGUGCGCACGAGUUGGAGACCCCGCACCUGUGCCGGUUCUUGGUGCUCGUGGCUGAGCCUGCAUCACCUUGUGUGGGGAGUUGUUUACUCGUCAAUGGCUCUGAGCGCGCCCGCGGGUGCGCCCGGGGUCUGGAGAGCCCGCGGUGGAGCCCGUGGCGGUGCCCGUGGCGGUAUCGUGUGUCCGCGGGCGCCGUGGGCAGGUGCUUUGGCCGCUCUGCUAGCUCUGCCGGUUGGCGGCUGAGGCAGCGUCGCUGUGGGUCCGGCGCCCCGUGUGUGCGGGGUUGUUUGGGGUGCUGGGGCAUUCCGUGUUUUGCAAGUGUCAGUCUCAGCGUUGGUGUGCUUUGGGGCGGGGGGUGCUGUUGUGUGUGUCAGUGGGUGAGUGUUUGUGCGCAGAUGGCAAAGUGAUGAAAGCCCCAGGUCCCUGCCAAGGCUGCUGCGAAGGGCUUUGGCAUCGUCCGUGGCCGCCGAGGCCCGGGGCGGGUGGGGGAGGCAGGUGGCAGGCUGGCAGCUGGUGGCCCCCGCAGGGAUUUCCGUCUCCACUGGGGCUGUUCUCGGGGCUGCUGGGCGUGAGGGUGGGUGCUGGCCAGUAGGCCGGGCCCAGCUCGCUCUCACUUUCUCCUCUCCAGGCCCAGGGCCCCAGCCAGUGCCCAGCCCCGCUGGGAGCCCCGGCCAGCACCACGGACGGCGCCCAGGAAGCCCGAGUCCCCCUGGACGGGGCCUUCUGGAUCCCGAGGCCCCCGGCAGGUUCGCCCAAGGGCUGCUUCGCUUGCGUGUCCAAGCCCCCUGCCCUGCAGGCUCCAGCGGCCCCUGCCCCUGAGCCCUCGGCCUCUCCCCCGAUGGCGCCCACACUGUUCCCCAUGGAGUCCAAGAGCAGCAAGACCGACAGCGUGCGGGCUGCCGGCGCGCCCCCCGCCUGCAAGCACCUAGCCGAGAAGAAGACGAUGACCAACCCCACGACCGUCAUCGAGGUCUACCCGGACACCACCGAGGUGCGAGACAAGAAGCUUCUCAAUGACCUGAAUGGAGCCGUGGAGGAUGCAAAGACGGCCCGGCUGUUCAACAUCACCAGUUCUGCCCUGGCAGCCUCCUGCAUCAUCCUCGUCUUCAUCUUCCUGCGGUACCCCCUCACCGACUACUAAGGCCCGCCAGGCAUGGCCGCUGGCAGAGACAAGCACUGAGACAUGUUUAUUCUCAUGGUCCCUGAAA